UUUCGGAUCGUAAAACUUUGUUGUUGAGAAGAAUGAUCUGAUAGUAACUGAUCAGGUAGUGACGGUUUCCAACCAGAAAGCCACGGCUAACUACGUGCCAGCAGCCGCGGUAAUACGUAGGUGGCAAGCGUUGUCCGGAUUUAUUGGGCGUAAAGCGAGCGCAGGCGGUUUCUUAAGUCUGAUGUGAAAGCCUUCGGCUCAACCGAAGAAGUGCAUCGGAAACUGGGAAACUUGAGUGCAGAAGAGGACAGUGGAACUCCAUGUGUAGCGGUGAAAUGCGUAGAUAUAUGGAAGAACACCAGUGGCGAAGGCGGCUGUCUGGUCUGUAACUGACGCUGAGGCUCGAAAGCAUGGGUAGCAAACAGGAUUAGAUACCCUGGUAGUCCAUGCCGUAAACGAUGAGUGCUAGGUGUUGGAGGGUUUCCGCCCUUCAGUGCCGCAGCUAACGCAUUAAGCACUCCGCCUGGGGAGUACGACCGCAAGGUUGAAACUCAAAGGAAUUGACGGGGGCCCGCACAAGCGGUGGAGCAUGUGGUUUAAUUCGAAGCAACGCGAAGAACCUUACCAGGUCUUGACAUCCUUUGACCACUCUAGAGAUAGAGCUUUCCCUUCGGGGACAAAGUGACAGGUGGUGCAUGGUUGUCGUCAGCUCGUGUCGUGAGAUGUUGGGUUAAGUCCCGCAACGAGCGCAACCCUUAUUACUAGUUGCCAGCAUUAAGUUGGGCACUCUAGUGAGACUGCCGGUGACAAACCGGAGGAAGGUGGGGACGACGUCAAAUCAUCAUGCCCCUUAUGACCUGGGCUACACACGUGCUACAAUGGAUGGUACAACGAGUUGCGAGACCGCGAGGUUUAGCUAAUCUCUUAAAACCAUUCUCAGUUCGGAUUGUAGGCUGCAACUCGCCUACAUGAAGCCGGAAUCGCUAGUAAUCGCGGAUCAGCAUGCCGCGGUGAAUACGUUCCCGGGCCUUGUACACACCGCCCGUCACACCAUGAGAGUUUGUAACACCCAAAGCCGGUGAGGUAACCCUUCGGGGAGCCAGCCGUCUAAGG
rnacentral:rRNA from 1 species